rnacentral:rRNA from 1 species
UACGUAGGGUGCAGGCGUUAAUCGGAAUUACUGGGCGUAAAGCGCACGUAGGCGGAUCGUUAAGUCGGGGGUGAAAUCCUGGAGCUCAACUCCAGAACUGCCUUCGAUACUGGCGAUCUCGAGUCCGGAAGAGGUGAGUGGAACUCCUAGUGUAGAGGUGGAAUUCGUAGAUAUUAGGAAGAACACCAGUGGCGAAGGCGACUCACUGGUCCGGUACUGACGCUGAGGUGCGAAAGCGUGGGGAGCAAACAGG